rnacentral:rRNA from 1 species
GACGAACGCUGGCGGCGUGCCUAAUACAUGCAAGUCGGGCGGACCGACCGCGGGCUUGCUCUUGUUUGGUCAGCGGCGGACGGGUGAGUAACACGUGGGCAACCUGCCCGCAAGACCGGGAUAACUCCGGGAAACCGGAGCUAAUACCGGAUAACACCGAAGACCGCAUGGUCUUCGGGUGAAAUGCGGCCGUUGGGCUGUCACUUGCGGAUGGGCCCGCGGCGCAUUGGUUAGUUGGUGAGGUCACGGCUGACCAAGGCGACGAUGGGGAGACGGCCUGAGAGGGUGGCCGGCCACACUGGGAGUGAGACACGGCGCAGACUCCUACGGGGGGCAGCCGUCGGGAAUCCUCCGCGAGGGGCGAGAGCCUGACGGUGCGACGCCGCGUGAGGGCAGACGGCCCUCGGGUCGUAAAGCGCUGUCGUGAGGGACGAAGGAGCGCCGUUCGAAGAGGGCGGCGUAGUGACGGUACCUGAAGAGAAAGCCCCGGCUAACUACGUG